CUGCUCCCUCUUGUCUCUCCAGACGGAUGAUCUGCCUGUCCCCUGCUGGUCUCCACCCAUCACGAGGCUGGGGAAGCUCAAGAGAACUGUAAGAGCAGGGGAUUGAAGCAUUCCUGAGAGGGGAUCCCCCCAGCCCCUAAAAGAGAUGGGCGGGCAGAACAAACCCUGAAGCGUCAAGGAAGCCUCUCUCUUUCCAAGCAAAGACACAUCUUGACAGGCGAUGGGAGCAGCGAGUCAAGGCCAGAUUGGGAGGUUUUGCUUGGCCGGCUUCUCCCUGACUUUCUCCCUGAUGGCGCUGAGCCUCAGCUCCGAGAAGGUUCCGCCAAGGACACCGCGGCAGACCUCCGGGGAAGAGG